rnacentral:lncRNA from 1 species
ACUUGGAACCAGGAUCUCUAACCCAACAGAGCUUCAGUUUACCAGGGCAAGAAGGACCAACUCCAAAUCGGUGGUCCUGGAAGACAUGGUGAAGGCGUCCAUCCUGUCUCCAUCCCUUACUUUCCUGCAAGAAGAUGACACAGGAGGUUUGCAGACCUUUAUGGUUGGAGCCAUCAAGAGGGGGACUUCAGGGAAAGAAGCUGACCCAUCCUUGGUGCUUGUGAAGACAUCUAUGUGGUGGCUGGGGCUGGAUCCCUGGGCCGCGGCAGUAGUCAGAGACCACGGAGGAGGAGAGGGGCCACAGAAGAGGCCAGAAGGAGAGGCUGUUGAGGAGACAACCAGAAGGCUGCCAUCAGCAAACCAGGAAGCAGGACCCCUUCCUAUGUCACGUCCACCAGCACCCCGAUCGUGGACCUCCCGGCCUCUGGGACUGUGAGAAGUAGACGUUGGUUGAGUU